CCAAGGCAAGAACCACUUUCCACACCAUCCUCACAUGGCAGCUACGACCCUUUUCCUGUCAGCAAAGCACAUCAAAGCCCUAAACCAGUCAUCCAAAUGAUGGCAUACUUGCGUAGUCUUUGGAUUAAGAAGUCCCUGCAGCCUCUAAAGCUGACACAAACCACAGGAAUCUCGCUAACCAUCACGUCCAAACCACCACAACUAAACCUUCACCUUCAGCAAUGGAGCAGCAAAAGCGAGUUUAAAGAGCAAAGCAGAGAGGGAAAAAGGAAGAUGGAGCCGCACACAAGCCACGCAAGCCUGCGUACCCUUGUCUUCUUCUUCGUAGGAUUGUGCCGGCAGGAAAGAACGUAGAAGCCCAGUACGUGGAGAUGAAGGUGCCUCUCUACUCGUAUGGGUGCGAGAAGAAGGUCAAGAAGGCACUGUCUCAUCGGAGAGGGAUCCACUCGGUGCAUGUCGAUUAUAAGAUGCAGAAGGUGACGGUGUGGGGGAUAUGCAACAAAGACGACGUGCUCGCCACAAUCCGGAAGAAGAGAAGGGAGGCUCGAUUCUGGGAACAGGCAGAGCCGGAGGCAGCCGAGGGCAAGGUCGAGGAUGAGAUGGCGGUGGCAAAGGCUUCACGUCUCGCUGCUGCAAAAGGCCACAGAUUGAGACUGUCAUGGAAGAAGCUGUUCCCUCUGUAGACUCAUACCGGACAAACAAUGUACAGAAUAAUGAACAUAUGAAUAAGCUUCAUAGAUCUGAAGCAUAUGCAUUGGCUACUUCUCUAGGGAGAAGCACUUGGGAGGACUCCAUCGUUCGGGUUCGGAUUCGGAUUCGGGUUCUUGAAAAAAAGGGUCAACUUUGUGGACCGAUAUGAAAAUAAAGAAAGAUUUGGACUAUUAUGCAAAUUGGCGCGUCGCAAAUGAGAAAGACCGAAGAUGUGAUUAGGGACGUUUUGAUAGGCAUACGAAAGAUUUAGUUUUGGUGAGUUAGCGGAGGAAGCGAACGAUGUUUCGCUCGACGGACGAUCGGCCGGCUUCCUCCACCGCCGCCUCCCGGGGAUCUGACGUUUCGCCGACCGCCUUCUUGGAUGAGGUUGUUGGAAAACCCUUGUCGCGGCUGCAGAUAUUAUACAUUUCGUGUGGAUGUCAAGUUAGAUGGCUGGUCUACAACUUGUGCAAGAACCAGCAUUGUUGGGUAUUCAGCAUCAUGCGGAACUGCUAGCUCUCGACAAUUAUUUUCUGAAUGGUUUCGCAUUUUUGACUGCUGCCUGUAGAGUGUUGACUAGUUUCAUUCACUCUUUGCAUCGAUCCAUCAGUCUCAGCUACUAAAAGACACAAAUUCUUAAUCUUGUACUAAAAAAGCUGGAUCUGUGUAGUUCCAUCAGUGUGAAGAAAUGCCCAUGUAUCUUAUUUUCGCGGUAUGAUAUUGGAACUAUGAUUUAGCAAUAAUAUGAUUAUAAAGUCAGAUUAGAAUC